rnacentral:lncRNA from 1 species
UUGAUCAUUCCACAACAUUAUGCUGUCUUGAAGAAAGCAGAGCGUGAAGGAUGCCAAUAUAUUGCAAUCAAGACAAACGCUAACGCCUUCGUCAGCCACCUUGCAGGAAAAAACUCAGUAUUCCGCGCCUUACCAGUUGAUGUGGUCGCUAAUGCUUACCGCAUCUCACGGGAGCAAGCCCGAAGCAUCAAGAACAAUAGGGGAGAAGAGCACGGUGCCUUCACUCCUAGAUUUCAACAACAAUACUACCCAGGAUUCUCGAAUGAGUCCGAAAGUGAGACUUCAGAGUAAUGUAACUGAGAACUAGUUCUGGCAUAUAGCAAAAUAAAACACCACAAGUAUGAAUCUUGGUGGUGAUUCUAUUCUAUAUCAACAUUAAAUAAAGGUGACAUAUUUCUUACUUUACCUACUUCAAGCCAUGCGUAUUCCAUUAUGGAUUGUUGCGGAUGUGGCUAUAUUCACAUAAUUUAUCCUAUAUAUGAGGAAACAAAUUACAUACCAUGUUCAUUCCUUAGACAACAUUUGAAUGCCACGGAGUGAGCACAUCAUGGCAACACUGAAGAUUUAAAUGUUGAAAGUGCUAGCAUUGAUUGAGAGGGAUAUACAAAAAAAACUUGAUAAAACUUCAGAAACAAGUAGGCCAAUGUCAUUAACCUCACCUAAGUAAAAUGUUGCUGCAUCUGUGUACUUUGCCCCCAAAAUGAAAAAAUGGUGGAUGAAGUUGUACGCUUGAACCUUUUUAAGGUACACUUACAUAUAUGAGUUGUUUGCUCUGUUGAUCCAAUGGUUAUGACAAACCUUGAGGUUAUUUUGUCUUUGCAUAUGAUCAUUUACCAUUAUUUGGAUAGAUUAAGAUGGGCCCAAUUAAUUCUUGAAAGGAGUUGUAUUAAUAUUAUCCAAUCAAAGGAAACAUGUUUGGUCAUUUCAAAACAAAAAAUGACAAGUAAUGUAUAGGACUAAGUCAUGUGAUGCACCAGUGUUAGUAUUUCUUAUGCCCUCACAAAUAAGGUUUCGCAAGCGCAAGAAAUUACACUUUACCUCGGAGUAUGAUGGGGCAUCAUAUUUAUCCCAAAGGAUGCACUAUUAAUUAAAAUAUAUCAUCUAAGGAGGAUAAUCUACUAACCAAACACGAGGGUUAGCCGAUAAAGAUAAAGGAAUUAUGAACUCAGAUAAAAAGGACUACACCUAUCUAGUUCAAGAGAUAUUGAUCAAAAGCUAAAUAUAGUCUUCGCAAAGCAAAGGCUAUUUAUACGACUAAUUACUUCGAGUGCAGGAGUAAUUCAUCACAAAGGAUGAACACCUUUCUGCCAAUGCACCAAUGCACACCAAUAUAGAUAGGGUUAAUUUGGCCACCUUUGAAGGACGAACGGGCCUGUUAUCACUUGAUCGACUACGUCCUCCAUUUUGCUUAACAUGUCUUUCUUCCUAAUACAAGAUCUAGGCACCACAUCUACGACUUAUACUAAUAUUUAGCUCUUGAGCAAAUAACACCCAGACUUAGCUAGAUGAACUAAGUUGAACAAGAAACCCGCAAACAUAUAUGAAGCACUUCAAGCUAAGUAGACGAUGAUCGACUAGAAGGUCGAUCAGACAAUAUUUCCUCAUGAAAACGAAUUGGAUAAUUAAAUGAGGAAAGUAAAUCGGCAAAUAUCGAACAUCAGUAUAUUGAUCAAAAUAUAUGAAAUCGGAAAGAUACAGGAUUGUUACCGAACUUCUGAAGCCGAUUUCUGCAGAACUUGGGUGAUUUGUAAUCCUGCAUAGUUUUACAAAUAGAUGUAGAAAAUUAAUUACAUAUCUUAGUUAAAUUCAGCCAAACGUUUACCGGCUAGAUCAAUAAUUAUUGUUAACUCGAGUAAGAAAGAAUAAAUGGUAUUAAUUUCAUUAGAACUGAAUUAAAACUAACAAAAUGCAUUAAACUAAUUAGAAAUUGAAAUGGAUAUGCCUACAUACAUGCAUAAAACUUGGAUAUAUACUCUCUCUGUUUCACAUUAUAACUUUUUUCUAGUCAAACUACCAUAAGUUUGAUCAAGUUUAUAAAAAAAAUAUAGUAACAUUUUUUUUAAAAAAACAUACUACCAAAAUACAUUCGGUGUUGCAUUUAACGAAACUAAUUCGAUGUUGUAGAUGUUAAUUUUUCUAUAAAGAUGGUCAAACCUAACGAAGUUUGACUUAAAAAAGUUAAAACGAACUUAACAAAAUCAUUUUAGGACCGCAACACGCACGAUGCUAAUCGGUACGCAGACUAGCACUAUUGACAAAAGGUAGGACUAGCACUGAAGGUAGCCCCAUUAAUCAAUCCAAUACAGUUGUUAAUAGCAAUUUGUUUUUAAUCAAUCCAAUACCUAACUGUUGCAAGCACAUAUGCUACGGUGUACGGGCUACGGCCCAAGGCCAAAGCCUGCUGACAACACAUGAUUUGCUCAUAUUGGAGGGGGCCUAAUACAAUGCAAGUUGUAGCUAUCAAUCACGUGAUUAAUUAGGCACUCCCUCCAUUUCAUACUACAAAUUGCUUUGAUCUUUAUAAAUCAAACUUAUUAAAGUUUAAUCAAAUUUAUAGAAAAAUAAAGCAAACACUUACAGUAUUAAAUUAGUUUCAUUACAUCCAAUAUUUUGAUAGUUUGUUUGUUUUGUGUUAAAAAUAUUGCUAUAUUUUUCUAUAAAUUUAAUCAAUCCUAAAAAAGUUUAACUUAGAUAAAAAGUAAAAAACAACUUAUAAUAUGAAACGGAAGUAUUCCCUCCGUUUCAUAAUGUAAGUCAUUUUAGCAUUUUCCAUAUUCCUAUCAAUGUCAAUGAAUCUAGACAUAUAUAUAUAUAUAUAUCGAUUUAUUGAUAUCAAUAUGAAUGUGGGAAAUGCUAGAAUAACUUACAUUGUGAAGUAGUAGUACUGAAGUAAAUUAAUACAAUGCAAGUUGUAGGUAUCGUGUGAUCAGAAUUUUGACCCUUUCGAUCAAAAGCAAGUUGAAACCAAUCAGUUUUCGAUAUACCCUCUAUAGAACUAGAGCAUUUGAAUUUAUUUAUUUUUUUUGAAAUCUGUCCAAAUUCUAUCAAAUUUCUCUUGGUUUUUGCAAAAAUCGUUAUACCACUAGUGCCUAGGAUUAAUUUCAGAUUCCAACGGAAAGCUAAACCUUAAUAACAGUAUCAUAAUACAUUAUAACAGUAACAUAAUGCAUUAGUCCGGAAGUACUCCUGCAAGGAAAUGGAAAAACAAAAGGACUGGUGAAGUGGCGAUGCAAGAAAUUUGAGGUAUUAUCACCGGCAUGGUCUAUUCGAUCAGGACUCGAUACUAGGUUCACUAUUCAGGACAAAAACAACAGCACCAAAAAAUCAAAUUUUGGGAAAAUGAAACUGAGAUUGCAUGAGAACCAUACUGGAAAGACGCAAUGAAUGUGCAAGAAAUAUUACAAUGCGUACGGUUAAUAACGAGACCAUCAAACUGUUAACAGUAAGCUUGCCUCAGAAUCUCAUAAUACAACCAUAUGAGAGCAAAGGAUAAUUGUUCCUACUGGUCACCUCGCUGCUGACCAGUGCAUGCUAAAUGGAGGGUCAAGUUCCGUACAGACCAUAUCAUAAGCCGCAGAAAACAAUAUGGAAGAACCUACACCAGUAGUCUCCGCAUCUCCACAACCAGAAGAUAACUCUGGAUUCCAGCCGGGAUCAACCUUAUCAGUCAGACCAAUUGGUUGUAACAACAGAAAGGCCAAAAGUUGUAUCUCAUAAAUUCUAGAAUGGUUAAAACAGUAAUUUUAGCUCCAUUGUGAAACUUACCUACACUUCCAAGAUGAAAUCAUCUCGCCAUUGUAUUUUUAAUAAAAAAAAAAGGGCGGGGGGGGGGGGGGGGGGUUGAAUAGAAUAGAGUAAAUGAGGUAAGCUUAUCAUGUACUGGCAUAUUUAAACAGAUUUUCAGUAGGAACUAACAUUAUCCAUUCAGUACGUCAACUAAGCGAAAAUAUAGCUCAUUAAAUCACCUGUAAUAUACUCUUUGUGUUUCAUGGUAGAACUAGCCACUAGUAGUUAACAAGUUGGAAUUGAUCAAAAGAAAAUACAAGUCUCAAGGAAAGAGUCGUCUAUAAGAGAUUAGGAUCUAUCAAGCUCAUGCACAGAUGCACUCAGUUUUCCUAAUGUGUACUUCAACAUCUCAGUCUCCCUCUAUUUCAUCUAGGAGUAACUGUCUACCUUAUUCAGAUUCAUCAUUUCAAAACAUUUCUCUAUUCACCAAUUCGUAGUUACUUCUGUCCAUCCUAAGUUCAUUUCUUUGGCAUUGUGCAAUACCAAAACAAAACUUUGAUCACUCUUUUUUAUCAUAAUAUCAGAAGAAUUACAACAGUAAUUCAUGAUGGAAGUAUUUUACAACGAUGAGCCUAGCUGUGUCAUUUUGAUCAUGUGGGAAAUAUGUAAUCUUAAGCGUUCGUCUGUGAUAAAAGGGGGAAAAUUUAAUCUAUACUACAGAUUUUAUUGGCACCAAAUAAUACCACAAGAUUCUUUCACCUUUCAAAAAUACCAGGAAUUUGACAGAGAACCAAUUUAGUAAGCAGACAAAAUUACCCUUGCAUCUCACAUCCUUUCCCUCUCUUCAACAAUAUGGGGCCUCCACCAUAUCAUCCGUGUCUCUGCUCCGUCCGCCAUGGCAUCACGUCCGGGCAGGAGACCACCACCAGUCCAGUAUGCGUGGAGGGGCAUUUCUGUUUUGCUGCUGCGGCGUUGCGCCCGGGCAGGACCCCCUGGGUCGGCCAUGUGGAGGCACUUUUUUCCUCCACCACUGGUGUUUGUGCUGCCGUUUUCUAAUCCACCGUUGUGGCCUCGCUGCAAAGCACAAUAGCCGUGGAGGGGUCUUCUUUGCUCUGUCGUGGCGGGGUCGCUUCGAGAGCAACAGCCGCCGUGGUAUCCGAGCGGCCUGGAGGCCAUGAUGAGACACCCGCCAACUCGAACUGCUUCAUCAGUUCACAUGCCUGAGCAAGGUUCUGGAUGAUGAGCUCCACUAGCUGGUACCAAAUACAACUUCUGUAUCAUGCUGCUGCUGCGGCCACGAUGGAGAUUGGAGAACUCCCAAUCUAGUUCACACUUCAUAGGGUAGCUCAGUAAUCUUCUCAAACACUGGUAACGGGGACAAAUUAGUUUGUCCAAGAUUGGGUAACAUCCAUUGAAAUCUGUAUCAUUUUUGGAAGAGACAUUGCUGCAAUGUGGUAUUGAGUGGAGGUGCAAGAAUCUUGUGGUAUUAUUUGGUGCUGGUGAAAUCUUUGUGGUAUAGAUGAAAUUUUCCCAAGAAGAAAAAAGAAACUAAUUAACCUCAAGUAGACUGUCACAGCAUAUUUUUUGGACCAGGAAAACUAUACCAGAGUAGCAGAGGCUAAUGAUCAAUCACACAUGUAACUGAGAAAAGAGAAAAAUAUGCUGUAGAAAUAUUCAAGGAAACUGCUGAAAACACUAGAAUAAAUUCAAAAAAAUACAGUCAUUGCAACUGCUAAGAUCAGUAAUAGCAUAUGAUUGAAGAGGCAUUAUCUUCGAGUACUACACCAGUUGGUACUUUGCUAGCUAGGUGGUUUAUGCAUAAUAAUAAAUACAAAAAAAAACAGAAAUAUAAAAUGUCAUAGCCACAAGGUUGUACAAAUAAAGGUGUGUUUGAAAUUUGAAGUCAUGUUCAGGUAUUUUUACUCCCUGCACUCACGAAUAUUUGCAAUGGAGUAGCAGAUAGUUACCAAGAAAAACCAGUUUCUAUAUUAAAAUAUUAAUGUGACCGAUAAACCCCUGACAACUAGCCCAUGGCCCAAUCUAGCCACAAAUGGGUAUAGAGGAUUUAUUUGAUACGGACAAAAUAGAAGAUGUGCAAUGGAAAAUGUGGGGUUAAGGGGAUUAUAAACUAGCAUAGCUGGAGACUGUCCAUCUUCAUCAUGUCCAUCACCAAUGCUCAUGCCUACAAACGUUUAAAAGUAAAAAAAAAGACUCAGAUUCAUGGAGAAAACAAUUAAAUAUUAGGGGGCAACUAUGAGAAUGAGAUUUAGUUUGAAAAUGAAAAAAGAACUUAGUUUAUUUAUUUAUCUACUAUCCCGUACAGUUGGACUCACAACUUGCAGCGCGACUUUUUUGCCAAUGACAUAACGAACUGUUGUUUCAUAAAAAGACCAAACCAAGGUGUUAUUAUGGUUUUCAGAUUAUUAGCAAGAUCAGUAAAGAUAAAGGUAUUCAGUGAAAUGGCACUAUUUAAGCACUAAAAUGAGCCACUUGAGUACACAUUUGCAUUUCGGUUGGCUUGAACUUGACUUUCAUAGAGAUCAAAAUAAUUAAGUUCUAUCAGUACCAAAAAGAAAUGCUGUACUCAUAUUUUCAAUCUGUAUAUAUACUUCAACUGCUACAGAAACAACAAUAACAAAAAGAAAAACAUCAAAAUAUAUUGAAGAGUUCAUCAAGCAGCAAAACAAGAGAGUGAUACUACCCUAGUUUACAUUGCUACUUUAGCAAUCGAGGAUAUUCAUGCAUACAUCGACAAAAUAAUUAGAAGUCCAAAUUGCUACUCUAGUACUCAAGGAUAUGAAAGGCAAACAUCAACCAACUAUGAAAUGUAAAUCAUGCCAUUACCUGCAGUGUAAACACUUGCAAAUGGAUAAAUGAAAAGGGCAGCACAGUCUUUCAAAAUUCUCUUGAACUCCAUAGACUCAAGAUGGACCAUGAAGAGACCAUUAAUUGUCUUUAGGAAAAUCACAUUAUAGUCCUCAGAAAACCCCAUUACGAUUGGGGAGCCCUUGCGCUCUGUUGGACUCAAGGAUAGAAGCUCGCCCAAUUGAACUGUUUUCUCCAGCACCCAUCCAGACUCAGAGACAUCAUCAUCCCAAUCAUUCUUCCUCCUCCAAAAUUGUGAGCCCAAAUCCGACAUGAAGACGAAGCCGAGGCCACCAUCCGCUGCCGGCACGACACAAAAUCGUCGGUAUCCAUCACUCACAGCCAUUGGCACAUCAUCAAUCACAGCUAGCCUCUGCUCGUUCAGAUCGAACUCGAGGAUUCCACCCGGAAUCCCCGAAAUCAACCAGUAGAGGGAAUCCCCAAUCCGAACACCGGGAACAGCCAGGGAUAUCCUAGUCAAAUUGUGUGGGAGGGGUGUUGCGAUGAGAUCCCCCCAUUUGCCGGUCUCCGACGAGUAGAUGCAACCGAUGGCUUCGUACUGAUGGCGGGUGCCCACCAGAACGAUCUGGAAUCGGAAUCCGCCGCCGCCGCCGGGAAGGCGAAACACCGCGCCGUUCCGCACCUCGGUCUGUCCCUGGUCGCACUCCGGCGGGAAGGCAACGCGGCGCUGGUCGCCGGAGACGGGGUCCCACACGAGGAAGCAGCCGCGCAGCCGCGGCAUCACUGGGUUGACGGCGAGGACGAGGCCGUCGCGGCAGCCGAGGAUCCUGCAGCGGAAGUCGUCGAACCGCAGCGAGAAGCGCCCGCCGGCGCCCACGGCCGCGGGGACGCGGUCGGGGGGAUCCAUGGUGGAGACGAAGGAGGGGCUCACCCGGUGGCUGUGGAAGAAGCCGAGGAGGGGCGCGCCGCGGCGGUGGUGGGCGCGGAAGCGGCGGAGGAAGGCGGGGUCGGCGGUGACGAGGCGGCGCCAGCGCGCGCAGACGGCGGCGGCGCGCGGGAGGGAGGAGGGCCGCGGCGGGAGGCGGAGAAGUAUCUCGGCGAGGAGGUCGUCGUCUUCCAGCGGCCGCGGGUGCGGGUGCGCCAUCACCGGGUUUCGGUUCCCCGCGCUUCUCCGCUUAGGUGGGAAGUGGAGACUGGAGAAUGUAGGCAGACUGUGAGACUGGGACUGUGUUGUUUAGGCGAGUUUACUUCCAAACUUUUUUUUCAAACUUUCAACUUUUUUAUCACAUUAAAAUUUUUCUACACACAAAUUUUUAACUUUUCCGUCACAUCGUUCCAAUUUCAACCAAAUUUUCAAUUUUAGUGGAACUAAAACCAAAUAGAUAGAAAAAAUUUAGGCCAAAAACGUCACAUCAAAUAUUUAUAUAUAUAUAUAUGGGGUAUUAAAUGUGGGAAAAAAAAUCAAUUGCACAGUUUGCAUGUAAAUCGCGAGACGAAUCUUUUAAGCCUAAUUACGUCAUGAUUUAACAAUGUGAUGCUACAGUAAACAUUUGCUAAUGAUAGAUUAAUUAGGCUUAAUAAAUUCGUCUCGCAGUUUACAUGCGGAAUUUGUAAUUUGUUUUGUUAUUAGUCUAUAUUUAAUACUUUAAAUGUGUGUCCGUAUACUCCAAAAACUUUACACUCAAAUAACUAAACACACCCUUAGAUGAGGAAAAUGUUGAGAUAUUUAACUAUUUGCCACUUUUAGAUGUGGCAAUUAACUAUUUGCCUCUGAACCCAUAUGUCAUAGACACAUAUGGAUCCACAUUUCAUUGAGAUAGGGGUGGCAAAUAGUUAAAUACCAAAUUUAAAAGUGGCAAAUAGUUAAAUGCCCCGGAAAAUGUUAGCUCGAGGUCCUCCUCUUUUAUUUUAGUUUUUAAAUCGUACUUUGAACAAUAUUACGCAAAUCCCAUUAACUUUUAAAACAUUUGUAAAUGAGGUCCAUCGACGGUAUUGUUUACGGUUUUAGCUGAGGUGGCUCUUUUGACUAGGUCUUCGUCCCAUAUGACAUUUGCAUGACGCUUACGUGGCAAUUCAAUUCGAUAAAAAUCGUGGAGCUCAUGUGUCAGUUUAACCAAAAAAAAUAAUUAAAAAACAUGGGGCCUUACGCGGGACCCACAUGUCAUCUCAUUCUCAUUUUCUCUUCCCUUUCCUUCCUCUCUUAUGUUAUCCCUUCCCCACUCCUCUCUCUCUCUCACACACUCCUCUCAGGCUGGUUAAUCUCAGCGCAAAGACAGUUUGUGCUGAGUUCACGGUUUAUUUCUUGUUAAAGUUUCUUUUACUGUAUAGUUUCACAAUAAGUUUUUUGAAAAGGACCAUUUAAAAAAAAACGGGAGGGGGGAGAGAGUAGGAACAGGGGACCCGUGGGCUGGUCUGUCGGGACAAGUUCGCGGCCCAUGAAAUGAAAUCCGGCCAUUAGGCCCAUCCCAGUCAUGGUGCCCUGUCUUGCAUGCCAUUUGUUCGACCGAUGGAAUCCAGUGUCGCACGCUAAAUACCUCUUCUGCUCUUCAUCCAUCCGAUCACUCUGAAUCCAAGUGAAUCUCCGGAUUAGGAUCGGCCGCGAGUUAUUUUGCUCUGUGAAAGUUGCUUGGCUGCGUAUAGCACUCCUCAUUCAUCAACAUCGUGGUGAAGAGAAACGAGGGGCUCAAAAAUCAAAGGCAAAUUUUACUACAGUACAUCGUGGCUUUGCAGUUUUAACUGCAGGACACCAAAGUGACUUUGGGGUGAAGACACUUUCAAAAGUUGGAUAUUUGCUGGUGGACACUGGACCCACUAAAAUAAUAAUUUUUGGUUUAAGAGGAGGGAGAAAUCGUGUGAAAUGUAUGAAAUGUCCUUGGGCCCACAUGUCAGAUUUCCAUCUCUCUUCUCUCUCUAUCCCCUCCUUCCACACUGGCACACAGCCAUGCGACGGGCUUCAGGGGGCAGGAGGAGGGUUGUGACGAGGGGGACAGCGGCAGCCAACGGCCUAGGCCUUGCCGGGCCAGAUCGGCGUCGCCGCCACGGAGCCCGCAUCUUGCCAAGACCUUAAGAGUGGCAUUUAAAUGUCGUUCACGAAAUCAACACGACAUGUUGUUUCUUGUUUAUAGGAUAAAUUAUAUGAAUAUAGCCACAUCCACUAUCAGGGCCGGCCCUGGCCCUAUGGAGCCGAGGCGACCGCCGGGGGCCCAUGAUGGUGGGGUGGGGGGCAUAAUGGUGGGGGGCAACACCUAAUACUAGUAGUCUAGUACCUCAUCCGAUGUUGAGAUCAAUGAUUUUUAUUCAGAAUUAAAGGUGAUGAAAGUGAGUUUGCCAGAUUCUUCGAUUUCCCUAAGAUUUUGAAGUUUGUUAUGGAUGCAGAUUUCUAUCCAAAUGUUUCAGUUGCCUAUCGAAUUCUCUUAACUUUACCUAUGAUGGUAGCUUCAGCUGAAAUAAGUUUAUCAAAAUUGAAGUUGUUGAAAAACUAUUUGAGAUCAACUGUCGCAAAUAAGGUUAAAUGGCUUGGCUAUGUGCUCAAUCGAGAAGGAUAUCUUGGACACUAUUGAUCUUAAUACCGUUCUUUAUGAUUUUGCAUCAAGAAAUACCCGAAGAAGUAUCUUUUCAUAGGAAGCAAUGGAUAUGACGGGGUUCUAUUCUUCAUUAAGUUAAUAAAUAAUUAUAUUAGUUCCAAGUUACAAAUAUAUUGUUAUUUUGGUCGAUUUUAUUUCUUGAUAAUUACCAGGAAUGUUAAAUUUAAUAUAUAGAUGUAUUUGUUUUCAUUUUGCAAGUAAAAUUAGCGUCUAUAUAUAUCAAUAAAUUUUAUAUAUAGCUUGGAGGGCCCAUCGCGAUGAGUUCGCCUAGGGCCCUCAAAAUCAUAGGACCGGCCCUGUCCACUAUAGUCCAUAAUGGAAUAUCCAUGGCAUGAAGUAGGAAAAUUAAGAAGUUUGUAACCUUUAUUUAGUACUGAUAUCGAACAGAAUCACCACCAAGUGUCAUACUUGUGGUGUUUUAUUUUACUCUACGCCGAUACUAGUUCUCAAUUACAUUACUCUGAGGUCUCGCUUUCGGACUCAUUCGAUAAUCCUGGGUAGUAUUGUUGUUGAAAUCUAGGAGUGAAGGCACCGUGCUCUUCUCCCCUGUUGUUCUUGAGGCUUCGGGCUUGCUCCCUUGAGAUGCGAUACGCAUUAGCGACUACAUCAACUGGCAAGGCACGGAAUACUGAGUUUUUCCCUGCAAGGUGGCUGACGAAGGCGUUAGCGUUUGUCUUGAUUGCGAUAUAUUGGCAUCCUUCACGCUCUGCUUUCUUCAAGACAGCAUAAUGUUGCGGAAUGAUCAAUAAUUGUCCUGGGCGAAGGACACCAUCAAACACAGUCUUUCCAAAGUUACUAACGACUUGAACUCGAGAUCGCCCUUGAAUCAUAUAGACCAAACUAUGAGCAUUGACGUUCCAGAACGGCGAGAGAAUAGCAUUCUGUAGAAAUCAGUAGAGAAUAAUGUUAUAUAAGCAACAAAUCAAAGAUCUUCCAAAAAAAAUGAAGAGAACAAAACGGUGCUAUAAUAAAUACCUGGUAUAGGUUUACUCUGGUAGCGCUCAUUUGGAUGAGGUUAAGGAUGGGGAACUUCUGACUAUUGACACUUGUUAUCCUUCCGGCACGUGGGUUGUAUGAAUCAGCACGACUAGGAUUUUCAAUGUUUACUCUCACCUUGAUCGUGCAAAAGUUCUCCUCCAAUCCGUUCCAUCGAGAAGAUGUUUGCUGUCGUUCACUGUAUUGAACUUGUUGAUAUUGAUCUUGUGCUUGUGCUUGUUCUUGCUGUUGUGUCAAAGUCGGUUUCAACAAUUGAAGGCCAUUCUUCACAUGUAUGAUCUCUCCUCUUUGAUCAUUUUGGCUCUGUAGCCUCUUUGCUGCUACUGCGUUGAUGCCUAAAGCCUCACUUAGCAUCUCAACACCAAAUCCGCUGAAUAUGUUUUGCCCAGAGUGUUGCUCAAUUGAGCUACCAUAUACUUGUUGUUGUUGAGCCCGAUUGUUGUUGCCGGCUAAUAGGAACUCCUGAAAUUUUUAUCAAUGAAAAAUUUAAUGUUUUACGCUAUGAAUUGCAUUGUAAGAACAUAUGAAAAACAUAGAAAAUUACAACUUUGAUGGAAAUAUUUGUUCAAAAAAUUACCUUUUGCCUAGGUUCAAGCUGAUUGGCGUUGUUGUUUACGUCAUAAACAUAUACGGCAACAAUAGGUGCAUCACCAUCAUUGUAGAACCAAUGUGCAACACCAGCUGGGAGUGCAACAAUGUCUCCUUGCCUAAAUUGAUGAAUCUUUUGGUGCUCAUCUCUAAACUUUUGGCUCUGACUUUGGCCUUGAGAUGAAAAUUGUUGGAAUUGUUGCUGGUAAGUCGCAGGGCAACCGGGGAAGGUUAAACCCAUAGAACCUCUCCCUAAAAAUUAUAAUGUUCACAUAAGGUACAUACAACAUUAAUUUGACCAUGGAGAUCAUAACUACUAGUUGCAUCGAUAGAGUUCUCGAUUAUAUUUAUUAGGAUACAAACCUUGGAUGAUGUAGACCACGCCAGGAAUAUUUGUGUAUCGAGGUACCAAAAGGCCUUGAGGCUGAAUGACACGUCGGAUCACAAAAGUACCCGUGCACUGGAAUAAUUCAUUCUUCUCAUCGAAGUACUCAGUCACCCCAGCUUCUGACCUCACUUUCCGAAGUGGUUCAAAUGCUUGUAGUCUAUCAAAUCUACACUCCCUAAAACUUCCUUGCCGAGGACUAUGCCAUGGGUUUGUGCUGGGAUUAAAUAGCUGGGCCAUAGAACCAUGGCAUAAUAGAAGAACACAAAAGUAUAUAGAAAACCGAGAGAAAACGGAACUCGCCAUAGCUAUUUGUACUUGCUUAUGGAAACUUAAGCUAAUUGAUGUGAGUUCAAAGACAGACCAAGCUAGUUUAUAUAGCAAUAAAAAAGCAUCUUGGGAUACAUGGUGAUAUAGUUUGUUGCACGUACAGACAAUAUAUGGCUUGUAGUGUUAAAACAGUACAAAAGGAAAGGCAACUUUGCAAGAUUGAACUAUACAUUUCAUGACUCAGCCAUGACAAACUUCUGGUGCUUUUGGAGUAAUACAAAUGGAGUUUGUUAAAGAAAUGUCUAUCCAUACUCUUAAUAUGUAUCUUUGCCUUGUCAUUAUAUUUGUUUUUGCACCAUAAAGCUCUUAUGCUUGAGAAGAUGAGUCUAACUUUAAGAUGAUAAUAACUUGUAAGCAUGUUGUCAUUUUUGCGUAGCAAGCUAUAUUUGAUAAUUUAGGUGUUCCUUCAAAAUAACAAAUUUGUAGGUUUGUUUUCAUUUACUUGACAAUUGAUAAGUAACUUGUAUUUUUAAAUGACAUACUUAUAACUUUGUUGUCUUGUAAAAUAUACCGGACAAUAAAGCAUAUUGGUGUAUGUAAUUUUUCCAUGUCAUAAGCCUUCUUGCAGUUUAUUGACUAUAUAACUUGCCUAUUGAUUUUUUUAAGUGUUCCUUCAAAAUAGCAAAUUUGUAGGUUUGUUGUCAUUUACUUGAUACACUACAAUUGAUAAGUAACUUGUAUUUUUAAAUGACGUACUUGUAACUUUGUUGUCAUGUAAAAUAUAUCAGACAGUAAGGCAUAUUGGUGUAAGUAAUUUUACCAUGUCAUAAGCCUUUUUACUGCUUAUUGACCCAUAUAACUUGCCUAUAUAUAUUAUUUAACUAUUUGAAAAACACAUAUUAUGAUAAUUUUACACAUCUGACCACGGAGAGCUGUGAGGCUACACGUGGGCCCGUGUCACUCAAAUCCACCCAGGCGCACGGAUUUGCUUCCCGUGCACCUAGGACGGCUCCCCGCGUGCUCCCGCUCUAUGUGAAUCGUGUUUGCAGACGAGUGGACCCACUCGGGAUACCGCGCGGGGGACCGAGUCCACUAGCCUUGUGCACUCGUCCUAGGCCACAUCCUCGUCCGGUCCACUCGGUCCCCCGUUCGUCGUAGCUGCUCCGUCGUGUGUUCGCUCGGCUGUGCCCACGCAGCACGCUGGGCCACACGCCGCCUUCAGCCCAAAAAGGCAGAAGCCAUCCCCUUUUUCCUUUUUCUUUUUCCAUUUAAUUCAAUAAUACUUUUUUUCUUUAGACAGAGAAUCAAUUAAUCUUAGAAAAUCCAUAUCUCUUCAACUGUCUGUUCGAUUGACUCUGUUCAACUUCUAAAAUUCCUCAAAAAUCGAGAUCUAUUCAGUGGCACACUUAGUACUCACUAAUACGAGCUUUUCCUUGGUCGUUUUGUUGAGUUAUCUCGUUCCACGUGUAGCUUCGGAGCCAGAAGAGUCCUAGUGCGCGGAAUACGAGGAAGAAGCUCAAGAUAUCAAGCAAGGUAGGUCACCUUUGAUUAUUUUGAGCCCAUAAUUUGAAACUAAGUAUUUCAUUUCUCAAAAUGCACAUCUCUAAAUUACACAUGAAAUGUUGGCCGCAGUUUGCAAUAUAACCAACAGGCCCCACCUACAAUUGCUGCAUUAACCUCCUUGGUCGACUACAAUGCUAGGUCUCAGUAUUCGUGCCCUCAGGUACGGAUACCAAUGACCCUCCUCAAAAUUUGAAUGAUCAACUAUGGGUAAAACUUGGGUUUACAAAAUCCCUGGAAAACCCGACACACCUGGGUCGGUGCCUUGAAAACAAAUGAGUUUACUAAACUCGUAUUUCGGUAGAAGUACUGGUGGUAUGGUUUUCUCGUUCUUGCUCAUAUGGACCGAUUCCUUUAGAAUUUCAUCCAACCAUAACAUGUGUGACCACAUGGGUGAAUUGUGACAUGCCUGGCUGAGUAAUUAGCUAGGUCAGGCAAAUCUUGAUGCCAAUGGACAAGUGGAUUUGUCGGGGUGGUGUUGGGGAGGACCCCUUGGAUUUUUCCUGGCACAACAUGGUUUGGGACCUAACUUGUUGUUGGUCUGUGGGACCCCUCCAGUUUUCAUAAGGUGUCCUUGUGUGGGCUUUCGAAAUGCCUUGUCGCGAAAUCCCUUAAGUCACAAGACGUGGCUAUUUUGCAUGGGCUGGGUAACUCAGGUUAGUGGCGUUGUGUAGGUAAAGUGUACCUUCUUUGUAGAGAUUAACAAACUGUUUGAACAGUCGUGCUCACGGUCAUGGGCGGAAGUGAGGUGAUUCCUUAGCAUAGUUUUGGUUGACUACUACUUUGUGAAGUUGUUGGUAGCAAGAAUCUGUUUUAAAUUGAUAUGUGGCUCUUGGGAGCAGCCAGACUCGGGGAGUCCUCUUAUUUGUUUGGCAAGGAGCCACCCAUGCAGAUGCAUUAAAUGAAUACACUUCACUGCUUUGGUCAUGUGAGAUGCAUCUUCUCACUUGUGUAGUUGAGAACCACUCACUUAGUCGUUUCAAAACCUUUAUAGAAAAAAAAAAUCUAAACAUGGAAAUAACCAGCCUUUCUCUGAAGCUUGCAUUAAACACCUAAUUCACAUGGUUUGUUGAGUACUAGUAUACUCACCCUUGCUCUAUAUAAAUACACCCCCCAGGCACAAUUUCUCGAUGAAGAGGAGAUGGAUCCAGCUGAUGAGUUCUUCCAGGAACAAGCAGGCUUCGAGCGGUAUUAGGGUUUUGGCUUAGUUCCAAAGUCAUGCUUGUGGCUUUGUCUAGUCUCCGCUUCUGCCUUUUUGUAAUGCAGUUGUGAACUCGGGGGUUGUUCGCAGUUCCAACAAUGAUUGUAUCCCUACUCAUAAUAACGAAACCCAUGUCGCUGUGAUAUUCUAUCUUCCUUUGUACUAGCUCUAUUUCCUGGGACUGGUACAUGCUCACAAGUUAAUAUGAAUCUCCUUACAUUGGUUUUCAUUUGGAGCUAGUUUGGGGCGUGACACAUGGUAUGCUAGAAGAAUAUUUCUUUGGCUAAAAUUUGCAUUCACCAUACUUGUGAUAUUUUUUUAAAAUAAGUUCAUCUUAGAUGGUCACUGUAAAUAUAUAAAUCUAGAUGGAGACAGUUGCGAAUAUAUGUGACAUAUUUUCGGUGCUAUGGAAGAUAUUUUAUUAGGGAAAGAUUAUAAGUACAUAACUUUUCAAACAAAACUCUUGUGAUAAAAGUGUGUGUGGCACACUAUGAACCAGCCUAGUUUUACUGUAACUAAUUUAUACUCCCAUCGUUUUUUAAUAUACAAUGUCAUUGACUUUUUUACAUACGUUUGACCGUUCGUCAUCGAACAUAAAAGAUAUAAGUCCAUGCUUAAAAAAAUUAAUAAAAAAGUCACAACAAAAUAAAUAACAAUUACAUAAUUUUUUAAAUAAUAUUAAUUGUCAAACGGAUAUUAAAAAGUCAGCAAUCUUAUAUAUAUUAAAAAAACGAAUGUAGUACUUGUGUUCCUUUUGAUCUUAACGGUUGGUUUAUGGGAUAAAUACAUUUAUUCCAUUAGGUUCCUACAUAUGUCCCAAAGGAUAUCUAAUCCCUUAAUUAACUCUGCCUACUGGUGGCCUUAUGGUUCCAUGUUGAAUGCCCCGUGCACCAAUGCCCAUGCCUACGAGCAUAAAACGUUAAAAAAAUUAAGAUUGAAAUAUAAAUCAAAUAUAUAUUAGAGGCAUCCAUAAGUAUGAGGAAUUUUUAUGUACUACCCCAUCUAUGAAUUCAGGGACAACUCAGCUUUCAGACAACAUUAGGAAUAGAUAAUUAAACAAAAACAUAUCUACCAUCAAAUGAAAAGAACAUUCUUCAGCAAAAUAUAAAAUAUAAUCAAGUAUUUUACUAUUAUAAUCCAAAUAAAUUGAUUCAAAAUAGUUUUAAAAAAAUCAAUAGGCAAGUUAUAUAGUCAAUAAACUGUAAGAAGGCUUAUGACAUGGAAAAAUUACAUACACCAAUAUGCUUUAUUGUCCGGUAUAUUUUACAAGACAACAAAGUUAUAAGUAUGUCAUUUAAAAAUACAAGUUACUUAUCAAUUGUCAAGUAAAUGAAAACAAACCUACAAAUUUGUUAUUUUGAAGGAACACCUAAAUUAUCAAAUAUAGCUUGCCAUGCAAAAAUGACAACAUGCUUACAAGUUAUUAUCAUCUUAAAGUUAGACUCAUCUUCUCAAGCAUAAGAGCUUUAUGGUGCGAAAAUAAAUAUAAUGACAAGGCAAAGAUACAUAUUAAGAGUAUGGAUAGACAUUUCUUUAACAAACUCCAUUUGUAUUACACCAAAAGCACCAGAAGUUUGUCAUGGCUGAGUCAUGAAAUGUAUAGUUCAAUCUUGCAAAGUUGCCUUUCCUUUUGUACAGUUUUAACACUACAAGCCAUAUAUUGUCUGUACGUGCAACAAACUAUAUCACCAUGUAUCCCAAGAUGCUUUUUUAUUGCUAUAUAAACUAGCUUGGUCUGUCUUUGAACUCACAUCAAUUAGCUUAAGUUUCCAUAAGCAAGUACAAAUAGCUAUGGCGAGUUCCGUUUUCUCUCGGUUUUCUAUAUACUUUUGUGUUCUUCUAUUAUGCCAUGGUUCUAUGGCCCAGCUAUUUAAUCCCAGCACAAACCCAUGGCAUAGUCCUCGGCAAGGAAGUUUUAGGGAGUGUAGAUUUGAUAGACUACAAGCAUUUGAACCACUUCGGAAAGUGAGGUCAGAAGCUGGGGUGACUGAGUACUUCGAUGAGAAGAAUGAAUUAUUCCAGUGCACGGGUACUUUUGUGAUCCGACGUGUCAUUCAGCCUCAAGGCCUUUUGGUACCUCGAUACACAAAUAUUCCUGGCGUGGUCUACAUCAUCCAAGGUUUGUAUCCUAAUAAAUAUAAUCGAGAACUCUAUCGAUGCAACUAGUAGUUAUGAUCUCCAUGGUCAAAUUAAUGUUGUAUGUACCUUAUGUGAACAUUAUAAUUUUUAGGGAGAGGUUCUAUGGGUUUAACCUUCCCCGGUUGCCCUGCGACUUACCAGCAACAAUUCCAACAAUUUUCAUCUCAAGGCCAAAGUCAGAGCCAAAAGUUUAGAGAUGAGCACCAAAAGAUUCAUCAAUUUAGGCAAGGAGACAUUGUUGCACUCCCAGCUGGUGUUGCACAUUGGUUCUACAAUGAUGGUGAUGCACCUAUUGUUGCCGUAUAUGUUUAUGACGUAAACAACAACGCCAAUCAGCUUGAACCUAGGCAAAAGGUAAUUUUUUGAACAAAUAUUUCCAUCAAAGUUGUAAUUUUCUAUGUUUUUCAUAUGUUCUUACAAUGCAAUUCAUAGCGUAAAACAUUAAAUUUUUCAUUGAUAAAAAUUUCAGGAGUUCCUAUUAGCCGGCAACAACAAUCGGGCUCAACAACAACAAGUAUAUGGUAGCUCAAUUGAGCAACACUCUGGGCAAAACAUAUUCAGCGGAUUUGGUGUUGAGAUGCUAAGUGAGGCUUUAGGCAUCAACGCAGUAGCAGCAAAGAGGCUACAGAGCCAAAAUGAUCAAAGAGGAGAGAUCAUACAUGUGAAGAAUGGCCUUCAAUUGUUGAAACCGACUUUGACACAACAGCAAGAACAAGCACAAGCACAAGAUCAAUAUCAACAAGUUCAAUACAGUGAACGACAGCAAACAUCUUCUCGAUGGAACGGAUUGGAGGAGAACUUUUGCACGAUCAAGGUGAGAGUAAACAUUGAAAAUCCUAGUCGUGCUGAUUCAUACAACCCACGUGCCGGAAGGAUAACAAGUGUCAAUAGUCAGAAGUUCCCCAUCCUUAACCUCAUCCAAAUGAGCGCUACCAGAGUAAACCUAUACCAGGUAUUUAUUAUAGCACCGUUUUGUUCUCUUCAUUUUUUUUGGAAGAUCUUUGAUUUGUUGCUUAUAUAACAUUAUUCUCUACUGAUUUCUACAGAAUGCUAUUCUCUCGCCGUUCUGGAACGUCAAUGCUCAUAGUUUGGUCUAUAUGAUUCAAGGGCGAUCUCGAGUUCAAGUCGUUAGUAACUUUGGAAAGACUGUGUUUGAUGGUGUCCUUCGCCCAGGACAAUUAUUGAUCAUUCCGCAACAUUAUGCUGUCUUGAAGAAAGCAGAGCGUGAAGGAUGCCAAUAUAUCGCAAUCAAGACAAACGCUAACGCCUUCGUCAGCCACCUUGCAGGGAAAAACUCAGUAUUCCGUGCCUUGCCAGUUGAUGUAGUCGCUAAUGCGUAUCGCAUCUCAAGGGAGCAAGCCCGAAGCCUCAAGAACAACA